GGAUGACGUCAAAUCAUCAUGCCCCUUAUGACCUGGGCUACACACGUGCUACAAUGGGAAGUACAACGAGUUGCGAAGUCGCGAGGCUAAGCUAAUCUCUUAAAGCUUCUCUCAGUUCGGAUUGCAGGCUGCAACUCGCCUGCAUGAAGCCGGAAUCGCUAGUAAUCGCGGAUCAGCACGCCGCGGUGAAUACGUUCCCGGGCCUUGUACAC
rnacentral:rRNA from 1 species